AGCCUGAGAAACGGCUACCACAUCUAAGGAAGGCAGCAGGCGCGCAAAUUACCCAAUCCUAAUACAGGGAGGUAGUGACAAGAAAUAACAAUACAGGACUUUUUGGUUUUGUAAUUGGAAUGAGUUAAGUAUAAACCCCUUUACAAGUAUCAAUUGGAGGGCAAGUCUGGUGCCAGCAGCCGCGGUAAUUCCAGCUCCAAUAGCGUAUAUUAAAGUUGUUGCAGUUAAAAAGCUCGUAGUUGGAUUUCUGUUAAUAAUUUAUAUAAAAUAUUUUGAUGAAUAUUUAUAUAAUAUUAACAUAAUUCAUAUUACUAUAAUAUAUUUUAGUAUAUGAAAUUUUACUUUGAGAAAAUUAGAGUGCUUAAAGCAGGCAUAUGCCUUGAAUACUCCAGCAUGGAAUAAUAUUAAAGAUUUUUAUCUUUUUUAUUGGUUCUAAGAUAAGAAUAAUGAUUAAUAGGGACAGUUGGGGGCAUUUGUAUUUAACAGUCAGAGGUGAAAUUCUUAGAUUUGUUAAAGACAAACUAAUG
rnacentral:rRNA from 1 species